rnacentral:rRNA from 1 species
CACGUAGGCACCAAGCGUUGUCCGGAUUUAUUGGGCGUAAAGAGCUCGUAGGCGGUUCGGUAAGUCGGGUGUGAAAACUUUGGGCUCAACCCCAAAGCCUGCACUCGAUACUGCUGUGACUUGAGUCCGGUAGGGGGAGUGGGGGAAUUCCUGGUGUAGCGGUGGAAUGCGCAGAUAUCAGGAGGAACACCGGUGGCGAAGGCGCCACUCUGGGCCGGUACUGACGCUGAGGAGCGAAAGCGUGGGGGAGCGAACAGG